CCUACGGGCGGCAGCAGUGGGGAAUAUUGGACAAUGGGGGGAACCCUGAUCCAGCCAUGCCGCGUGUGUGAAGAAGGCCCUCGGGUUGUAAAGCACUUUCAGUGAGGAAGAACGCCUGGUGGUUAAUACCCAUCAGGAAAGACAUCACUCACAGAAGAAGCACCGGCUAACUCCGUGCCAGCAGCCGCGGUAAUACGGAGGGUGCGAGCGUUAAUCGGAAUUACUGGGCGUAAAGCGCGCGUAGGUGGCUUGAUAAGCCGGUUGUGAAAGCCCCGGGCUCAACCUGGGAACGGCAUCCGGAACUGUCAAGCUAGAGUGCAGGAGAGGAAGGUAGAAUUCCCGGUGUAGCGGUGAAAUGCGUAGAGAUCGGGAGGAAUACAGUGGCGAAGGCGGCCUUCUGGACUGACACUGACACUGAGGUGCGAAAGCGUGGGUAGCAAACAGGAUUAGAUACCCUUGUAGUC
rnacentral:rRNA from 1 species